GGGAAAAGAGCAUGGAUGAAGGUGGA
rnacentral:piRNA from 1 species